rnacentral:lncRNA from 1 species
AAAGUAAGUAUAGAAGGAGACGAGCAAAUCCAGGACGUUGUGUGCUCACCCUUGCCUCCGAUCAUGACCGCAGCUGGCUCGAAUCAACGUCGGUAGCUAGUACUCGGACCUGCAUCAUGAAAAUAAAUGCAGAGUGUAGUAUGAGUACCAAAACAACAGGUACCCAGUAGGCAUCAGGCCGACUGAGCAAGAUAAGCAAAAGUGAACUAAAAUGCAAAUAAAGGGUCACAAUCAAGGGUAAAAGAGUAGUAAAUGUGGGUAUGUACACGAGCGGACAGGAAACAAAGACAAGGAAUCUAACUAACUCCACCGGGCACCCAUAAACCCGAUGGGUACGCUUGUGUACAAUAAAGAAAACCACCUGCACGGACCCCCAUAAGCCCGACAGAUGCCUUUUGGAGUUCAUACAGAAUUUAUGGGCAUGAAUGACUUGACUCGUAGGUCUACAUAACAUUAUAAAACUCAUGUAUGUGACUCUUCUCAUUCUCUGACUUACUUCCUCAAAACUUAGUUCAAAUCGAUAGUUGAUCUCAAAGGAUUCACAAUUGAACUCAAAGGCUUCUUUGAACUCUACUCUUAACUCUCUCUUGAAUUUGAAUUAUGAAUUAUGAAUUCAAGAGUUAUGAUUCAUGAUAUGAAGGAUCUGAAUAACAAUAUAGCUAUUCGAUAAUUAGGAAUAGAACUUUUAAAAGAAACAUGAAUUCAAGAACUCAAAAUCAACUUAUCUCAAGAAUACUCAAAUCUAGGGAAAGUAUCCUAGAUUACUCUUUUACUGAUCUGAAAGUAGAUGUAGUUCGUAAGGACGAACUAAUCCAACACUAUGAUAGCCUUACAUACCUAGAAGAACAAGAUUCUUGAAGAAUAUUUAAGAAUCUUGAAGAAUCUUGUAGAAGAUUUUGAUUAGAAGCCUUGAAACCCUAGCUUGAAGGUAAACAAUCAAGAAAAACCUUUCUUGAGAUUCUUGAAUUAGUUUCUUGAAAUCUUUAUGGCCAAGAAUUAUGAUUUUCAUUAGUGAGGAUGAAAAUCUGAUUGUUUUGAGCCUUUUAUUAGUCAAGAAAUUCGUUUAUGGUUUUCUUGGAGGUAAAAAGACAAAAACGACUCUUUUUAGUAUUUUCCCGUCAGCUAAUUCGUAACAGCACUGUAUAGACUACUAAAAUAGUCAUAACUUUUUACUCAGAAAUUGGAUUGACGUGAAAUUGGUGGCGUUGGAAAGUAGAUUCAAUUACCUUUAAUUGGAUAGGUUAUGGCUCACGUAACUCUUAAUAUUCUAAGAGAUAUGGUCGUUUAAAGUUGACCCAAUCAGAAUCUUACAUUAAAACUUAAUGAAACUUCAACACACUUAUCAAGAACUCAUCAAGAAUUCUAAUCUUUAAAUUUCAAGAACGAAAUUACGCUGAAUAAAUCAUGAUUGGCAUGUGGGUGAAAGAACCCAACACUAUGGAAGCUUACAUACCUCGUAGGGAUCAAACCCAUGGCGACAAUCCGCAAUAACUCUCAAGAACGUCGACGAACGCCUUCAUCCUUUCCUCUUUUCUCCUCUUCUCUCUUCUUUUCUGUUCUUGAACUCUCAACUAAAACCCUAGGCGUAAACUAGGAUUAUAAAACUGAACCUAAUCAAAUUAGACCCUUAAAAUAUUAUUAAAAAUGAAUCAAAUCUGUUUUGGUAAGGAAAAGACCAAAAUACCCCUCUAAAACCCGGUUUUGACUUUCCUUAACUGGACAGCCUAAUUUAAAAAGGUCAUAUCUCACUCAUCCGACCUCUAAACUUAGCAAACUUGGUGGCGUUGGAAAUAUAAUUUAAAGGUCUUUCCUACGGUAUCUGGUAUCACACCUAACUCAUCUUGAGCUAGAAGUUAUGGUCGUUUGAAGUCGACCCAAAACUCAUACUUAAGUAUAAUUUGCAAAAUUUCAGAUUUUGCUAUUUCCAAUUUAAUUCUUUUUGAAACUCAAUGUGUUACAUCUAGUGACCUUAACACUCAAGAAAUUUUUUAUUCCUUGGUAAAAUCUCACUCACUACGAAGAACGGUUCGAGUCUUAGUUCGAAAAAUUUUCUGGGGUGUUACAGAAACAACGUCGGAAAAAGUUCUACUGCCCAACGACAUUCAAAACCUCGCAAGUCUAUGGAAACACUAGUCUAAGCCUAGACUAAGGCCAAACAUACUUCAAAUCAAUAUUAUCAUAUACACCACAAGGUAUGGAUGUUCAAUAAUAUCAAGAGUCAUGCUGUCAUAAUCCAACAAUUUCCCGAAAUAAGGUCUAAGGCAGGAAUUAUAGAAAUUUAGCAUGAUCGACACCCGAACCCUCCAUACUCAAGCAAAUCAAUAAAAAAUUGCCUAAACAUGGUCAAUCUCACGAGGGGAAAACCAUAGCCUACCUGAAAGCCGAUCACGCGUGCUCCAACUCACGGUACCAGAGCUUUUCCCCUCCGAACGGUCUCCAAAUGCUUCCCCACUAUCAAAAGGUUAAUCACCUCGUCAUUACAAAUAUGUUGACACUAAAAUUAUAUUUUUCGGAGACGGACCAAAAAUUGGGUCUAAAAUGGGAUUGUUGGACCCACAAAUUGGAAAUCCCCAAAAAACGAAUCCCGUGAAAAACGUCCCAAACACCUUACUAAACUAAUACCCCAAAAUUUAGCACAAAAAGAUGUCUAAAACGUAGAAAAUCAGCCCCAACAAUUAAAAUCAUUAAUAAGUUUUGACUCAUGACUUGGCAGCCCCUUGAUCACUAAUUUCUGGAAAAACGAGACCCUUCCAACUCAAACAGAUUAUACCACGACGAUCCUUGCGAAAAACUCUACAAGUAAGCCUCAAAAAUGACUCAAAAUGGACCUAAGAUGAUCAAGAUCUAACCUUUCAAAGUUUAACAAAAAAUCAUUCCGAAAAUCACUCUAGCAGUAGCUAAGUUCGGUUCCUUACCUCAAACGAAGCCUCCCCUCGCGUUUCUGAGCUCACCUCUAG